rnacentral:rRNA from 1 species
AGCGAACGCUGGCGGCAGGCUUAACACAUGCAAGUCGAGCGGGCGUAGCAAUACGUCAGCGGCAGACGGGUGAGUAACGCGUGGGAACGUACCUUUUGGUUCGGAACAACCCAGGGAAACUUGGGCUAAUACCGGAUAAGCCCUUACGGGGAAAGAUUUAUCGCCGAAAGAUCGGCCCGCGUCUGAUUAGCUAGUUGGUGAGGUAACGGCUCACCAAGGCGACGAUCAGUAGCUGGUCUGAGAGGAUGAUCAGCCACAUUGGGACUGAGACACGGCCCAAACUCCUACGGGAGGCAGCAGUGGGGAAUAUUGGACAAUGGGCGCAAGCCUGAUCCAGCCAUGCCGCGUGAGUGAUGAAGGCCCUAGGGUUGUAAAGCUCUUUUGUGCGGGAAGAUAAUGACGGUACCGCAAGAAUAAGCCCCGGCUAACUUCGUGCCAGCCGCCGCCGUAA